AUUGGGCAGGCAAUGCCUUUUUCAGCAAAAUCUCUACAGCCGCGAUCUCAUGACAGAGUGGUUGCCCUGUGAACGACGUGCAAACGCCUAAAGCAGAAGAGGGGCUGGAGUCCAGCAGAGUGAGCGAGCAGGCGCAAACAGCAGGACCUGGCAUGAGCAGCAAGGAGAGCAGUCACCAGUAAUGAUGCAUGGAAAAGGGGAUGGGACCUCACUGAAUGCAACACCCCAUCUCCAAAUCACCAUCGGGAGCGGUUAACUUGAUCCUGGUCACAACAGCUGGAUGCGUCAGGAAAUCCUGGGUGUCAAGAAAUGAAGUCCUUUCUUUUGACGAGAUCACGGGGGACUGGCCAGCAGCCAGGCGCAAGGCGCUCUGCAGCUCGCCCGCGCCGCCUUACUCGGCCCCAUGCUUCCCCCAGGGCGCUUCUCUCGCGUGUAUUUCUGGGCGCCACAAAAAGAGGGUUAGAUUUUUCUUCUGCAUGAUAUUUUAGUCUGCACUACACUCCGGAAGAGCCAGUAACUUCUCCGUAAGACCUGUCGCAGUCUCUGUGUAUAAAACCCCCUUUGUUGGGGGGUGUGUGUGUGUGUGUGUGUGUGUGGUUUGACUGAGCCGCAUGAUCAGAGUCAGGUGACAACAUUGGGCACAAGAACGGAGCAGAAUAAGCAGUGAGACCUCGGAGAUUAGCUGCCGAUCUUGCCUUCUGAGAAGCUGUGCUGCUCCUCGGGGAACGAUGCGUGCCUGGCCCUCUCCUCUGCUUUGGAGCUUAACCGCGGCAUGGCUGACACGUAUUGCUUUAGGCCAGACAACCACUACGCAGGUCCCUAUUGCCCCAACACCAGUGCCUCCCAGUGCAACGGCCACCCAGGUCCCUAUUGCCCCAACACCAGUGCCUCCCAGUGCAACGGCCACCCAGGUCCCUAUUGCCCCAACACCAGUGCCUCCCAACACAGCUGCUGCCUCAGCCUCCGCACCCCCAGUUCCUGCUGCGACACUCUCGGCUGGAGUGGUGUCCACCACGCCAAACCUUGCCGCAUCCACGGGAGCGCCGUCUACUGACCCAAGCGUGGGAACAUCAGCUCCAGUUUUGUCCACCACCCCAGAGGCAACAGCGCUCACUUCUGGAAGCGCGACCACCUCUCGCAAGCCCAGCGCAGCGCCCACCAGUGCCCCGUCCUCCCCUCUGGCUGUGACGGUGUCUCCCAGCGUCCCAUCGGCAGCUCCGUUCCUCACCACCUCAGAGCCCUCGGGCUGCGGCAGGGUGAACGUGACAGCGUGUGAACACUGUUCCCCAGGGACGUUUCCCAACGAUGGCACCCUGAGCUGCUUGUGCUGCUCGCGGGGCUCCUGCGCGGGCCCUGCUGACUGCGUCCCCUGCCCGGUGGGUCACUACCAGCCCCUGAGCGGCCAACAGUCGUGUCUGCCCUGUCCGCAGGGGUAUUACGCCAGUUUUCGGAAGAGCACCGCAUGCUCUCCCUGUCCGCCUGGCUCUUACACUAACGAGUCUGGGGCUGCAGCUUGCAGAGCCUGCCAGCAAGGGUAUUUCAGCUCACAGCAAAAUGCAGCUUUUUGCCUGCCUUGCCUGCCUGGAUCAUUUUGCAACACCACCGGCUGCACCACGUGUCUGGCUUGCCCUGGUGGGACGGAGGCUCUUCGCAAGGCAUCCGAGGAGUGCACACCUUGCCUCCCAGGUAUGUUCAAAGGUCCUGAAGACAACAGAUGCAAGCUCUGCAAGGUGGGAGAAUACCAAUUACAGCAGGGCAAGGAGAGCUGUGACCUGUGCCCAGAACAUUACUACUGUCCUAGCCCAGAUGAGAACCCGGUCAAGUGCCCUGCUGAUGCCUUCUGCCCUGCCGGCAGCACUGAGCCCGAGUAUUGCAUGGAGGUGUUUCUUUACAAGGCAGGAGACUCUUGCCAGUUGGCCCCUCUGAUGAUCAUCCUCCUGGCCCUUUUCACAGCAGGGGGAAUCCUUGCUGUCUUUCUGAUAAUUCUGAAGAGAAGGCAAGAAUAUAGGAAGAAAUCUUUGAAGUCUCUACUGUUACCAAAAGGAUCAGGACAACACACAACGUAUGGUGUGAUGGAGCACACAGAACCAGUAUACACUGGUUGGUAG
rnacentral:lncRNA from 1 species